CGCAUGGCUAACCACACCAAAGAAAUGUUUGGCGGGGAUUUUUUCUGAACUGGUGUAUGAAGCACUCACUCAGUGUGGUCUUAUCCCCAUGGCUACGAAAUUAGUUCUUCAAUCUCAUCCUCUUCCUGUUUUCCUUUUUUCUGCAAAUCAUUUCCUUCGAAAGCAAUCGCCACAUAACUCAUCACUUUUCACUUCAUUCUCCACAGUUUCUUCACCUCAAACCCUAACCCUAACUCAUCAUAUCAUUUAUGGUCCAUCUCUUCACAAAGGUACAAAUCCAUCUCAAUCCUCUGCUCAGGUUGUCGAUGAAGAUGAAAGAGAAGUAAUCAAUAAGGAGAGUUUCUCCCGUGUUUUUGAGCUAUCCGCCCUAAGAGUUCCUGCAGAAGAAUGUUUUGCCCUAGAAAAUCGAUUGAGAGGACAUUUAUUGAAUUGGCCUCGCGUUCGUAAUAUUGCUAGGGUUCCUGGGGAUGAAAUGGAGGAUGAAUUCAAGAAGAUAUUACCAGAGAAAAAUGACACAGGCGAAGAUGAGGAAGAGAAAAAGAUAUUAGAUUCAUUAGAUCGCCGUUUAUAUGGUAAAGCUGAUGAUGAUGGUGAGGAAUUGAGUCCAGUUCUGUAUAGAGAUAACAUCAUGAAGUCGUUCAAUUCUCGUGGUUAUGUCAAUUUCAGGAAUGUUGCCAAGAUUUCAAGACCAAAGAAGAAGAACAGUAAUAAGAGGAGAGAUGAGGGAGAAGGUUCUGAUAGGGAGAAGAGAAUUGGUAAGAAUGAUUUUGCAGUGGUAGAAGUUGUUGGAAAUGAGAAUGAUGAUUUUAGUGGAUUGCUUGGUGAGGAUUUUAAGGGGGGAAGAUGGAGAGGCUCAACAAGAUUGCUGCUGUUGGAUGAAAACCUUGCUAACAAAAAUGUUGAAGAGCUCCCUGAAGCCGUCAAGGCCGUGAUAACAGGAGAACUCGCACAAAGCAGGAAAACAAUACCUGAGCUUGUACAGUGCAAGCUGACAUUGUUUUAUAAUUAUUGGCAAAUGAACGAGAUAUUAGAGGCCUUGCUUCCUAGAGGUGCAAUUGUUCCUUCAGCUUUUGAGACAAUUGGACAUAUUGCUCACCUGAACUUGAGAGAUGAGCACCUUCCUUGCAAGAAACUUAUUGCGCAGGUAGUGUUGGAUAAAAAUAAGCCAAAAAUACAAACAGUUGUUAAUAAGGUUGAAAGCAUUCAAAACGAGUACAGAACAAUGCAGCUCGAAGUUCUCGCUGGAAAUAAUUCCCUUGUAGCUACUGUCACGGAGAACGGAAUUCGUUUUCACGUAGAUUUAGCAGCAGUAUAUUGGAAUUCAAAGCUAGCCACUGAAAGACAAAGGCUGGUUAACCGCUUUACUAGCAGUGAUAUUGUUUGUGAUGUUUUCUCUGGUGUCGGUCCAAUAGCUUUAGCUGCGGCAAAGAAAGUAAAACUUGUCUAUGCUAAUGAUUUAAACCCUGCUGCUGUGGAAUAUCUAGAAAGAAAUUGUGUUCUCAACAAACUUGAGAGAAAGAUUAAGGUUUCUAACAUGGACGGUAGGAGGUUCAUCGUUGCAAUGUUUAACAGCCAUAAAGCGAAAUCUAUCACACAAGUAGUUAUGAAUUUGCCGAAUGAUGCAGUGGAGUAUCUUGAUGUAUUUAGGGGGAUAUUCAUAGAGCGACCUAAGGAGAUGAUUUCACCAAUGCCCAUGAUCCAUGUAUAUGGAUUCUCCAAUGCAUCAGAUCCUGAGUUUGACUUUCACCAGAGGAUUAGGAUCUCGCUGAAGGAGGUUGCAGUUGAGGUAGAAAUACAUAGGGUCCGGCAUGUUGCACCCGGGAAAUGGAUGUUGUGUGCUUCAUUUGUUCUCCCAGAGAUUGUAGCAUUUGCAAGUCUAAGUUAAUACAGGUUUAUGAAAGUCUGGGCCCUGGAGAUACCUUUACCACGCAUGAAUACUUUUAUGUUUUGCUCAGUGAGUCCAUUGAGCUGUUUCUUUGACAAUGAUUUAACAUUACUACACCCCCACAAACAAAAUUGGAGAGUGAAAGAAAGCGGACAAUUGUACCUCUCGAGGAGUCUCAACUUCAGAAAUUGUGUUCUUCUUCCUUACAAAUUCAUAUUUGCCAGUCUGAGGAGUGAGGAGUAAAAUCUUUUGUAAAACUCCAAAUCCUAGUUUGAAAGAAAACAAUCUUUUUUUAGACUCCAAAUCCUAGUUUGAAGAGAACCUAAAUUUUGGUACAGUAUAAUUUAAUGUAGUCUUGUUUGCGGCAGUAAUUAGACUCCAUGUGAAUUAAUUGGAGCCAGUUUAAUCUUAUUAGGACCUGCGACAAUUGAAUAAACUGUGUAUUUUUUUUUCAACUAGAAAUAUCUGUAUAUAGUCACUGCUUUUGCUUUUAUCUGAUGCAAGUACUUCACUUUU